rnacentral:rRNA from 1 species
UACGUAGGGGGCAAGCGUUGUCCGGAAUCAUUGGGCGUAAAGAGCGUGUAGGCGGCUCGGUAAGUCCGCUGUGAAAGUCCAGGGCUCAACCCUGGAAUGCCGGUGGAAACUGUCGAGCUAGAGUCCGGAAGAGGCGAGUGGAAUUCCUGGUGUAGCGGUGAAAUGCGCAGAUUUCAGGAGGAACACCAAUGGCGAAGGCAGCUCGCUGGGACGGUACUGACGCUGAGACGCGAAAGCGUGGGGAGCAAACAGG